AUGAACGCUGGCGGCGUGCCUCAUACAUGCAAGUCGAGCGAACAGACGAGGAGCUUGCUCCUCUGACGUUAGCGGCGGACGGGUGAGUAACACGUGGAUAACCUACCUAUAAGACUGGGAUAACUUCGGGAAACCGGAGCUAAGACCGGAUAAUAUAUUGAACCGCAUGGUUCAAUAGUGAAAGACGGUUUUGCUGUCACUUAUAGAUGGAUCCGCGCCGCAUUAGCUAGUUGGUAAGGUAACGGCUUACCAAGGCAACGAUGCGUAGCCGACCUGAGAGGGUGAUCGGCCACACUGGAACUGAGACACGGUCCAGACUCCUACGGGAGGCAGCAGUAGGGAAUCUUCCGCAAUGGGCGAAAGCCUGACGGAGCAACGCCGCGUGAGUGAUGAAGGUCUUCGGAUCGUAAAACUCUGUUAUUAGGGAAGAACAAAUGUGUAAGUAACUAUGCACGUCUUGACGGUACCUAAUCAGAAAGCCACGGCUAACUACGUG
rnacentral:rRNA from 1 species